CAACAACAACAACAACAAACCCAGUGUAUUCCCACUUAGUGAGGUCUGGGGGGGGGUAAGAUGUACGCAGUCCAUACCUCUACCUCUGAUGAAGUAGAAAGGCUGUUUCCGAAAGACCCCAGGCUCAAGUCACGAGAUAUCACACAAACACAUAGUAUAGCACAGAAGCAGAUGACAUAACAUAGAUACGGCACCCAUAAGGAAUAUAAAAUAGAGUAAAGCAGGAAUGCAAGAAUAUAAAGCAGA
rnacentral:lncRNA from 1 species